AGACUUGAUCUGACGUAUUUGAAGUUUCUAGAAAAUAAUUUUUAUGGCUUUUCGAUAUCAUUUAGCAAGCAAUCAAAAGGAUUUAACAUCACCGACUAAAAAUAAAAAUCCUAUAAAAAGUGGUGAUAUAGUACUAGAAUUUUCAAUUAGAGAUAUUGAUCCUGUUGUAGAUAGUAUAAAGAAUUUUGUAUCAAAAUUUUAUCUGAUUUGAACACUUCUAUACCGUUAAAAUUGAAAACGGCAAACAUCAAUUAUUAAAAAUUAUUGAUUUUAAACUCUUUUGAUCACUAGGUAAAUGAUAUCGAAAAAUUGCAAAAAAUACUUUCUAGAAACUUCAAAUGCGCUAGAUCAAGCCUAACUGACCGAUCGUUGGUUCGGAAAUUUCAUCAUCGAAAACGGCUCAGGAGCAUGGAGACUUUCGU
rnacentral:lncRNA from 1 species